rnacentral:lncRNA from 1 species
UUCUCAUGUACGCUUCUUUAACAAAACCCUAGAUUUCCAUUUGUUCAUCUUCUUCUCCUUCAAGCUCUGUAAUCCAUCAACCUCUGCAAUCGAAUCGUUUCAACCAUCAGAUUUAAAGCAGAAUAAUGUGGGACAGAAAGAAAGAAGAAACCGGGGAGUCUUAGGUAAUAUCGGCAAUCUUGCUCCAACCAUUGUUGUCGAAACUGGAAAACCGACUCAUAUAUGUCGCCCCAUCUCAAGAAAUUAUUGUGCCCAAUUGGCUGCAAAUGCACAAGGAGCAGCAGGCAAGAAUGUUAAGGUAGCAAAGGAUGAAGGGUUUGAGCUGCCAUACAGUUAUGAAGAAGCUUCUCAAAGAACCUAAAUUCUCAUUCUACCCUUUGACUAUUAAUUCCAUGCUCUGGCGUUGGAAGCCAUGUUCCAGCUUAGCAGUGAUACGAUCUUAGAUCUACAGGCGACUGAAUAGGCUAAUAAUGUGAUGCUAAAGGCCUAGAAGAAACACGAACUCGGUUUUUCCGUUCCCAAAUAAUCACGAGGAAAGAAAAACCGUAUUCGAAAGAAAGUGUCGAAGACGGGAGGAUAUCCAAACAAUCUGCAAUUUAUACGGAACCAACUGUGCGACCAAAGAUGUUCGACGACAUGUUACUUUGCGUUGAAGGUAAGGGUCGCGGUAAAAAAGGUGUAAACAAGGAUGUGGUGGAGUUGCGAAUGCUCUUGACGCUUUGUGCACAAGCCGUUGCGGCUAAUGACCAAAGGGGUGCAUUCGAUCUACUAAAUCAGAUUUUAGUUCUGCAAAUGACAAUGGAGGAUGGCUUCAAGAACUCGACGGCGACGGAAGAACUCCACGGUGAUGGCAGUUAGGGUGAAGAGGAUGGCUUCAAGGAUUGGUCUACUUUGCUAUGUUACUAAUUGUUCACUGUAGGUUGUUGGUUGUAGUGGUUCUGCAUUGUUGGUGCCAUUGUAAAGGGGACCAUACAAUGCUCAAUUUUUGGUGGAUUUUAUAUAAUAAAUAGCUGAACCUCAU